rnacentral:piRNA from 2 species
GUACUACUGGAUAUCUGACUGGAGCCA